GCCUGGCAGUGGGCAACCAACCUCGUCCUAUUCUGGCAACUCCCUUGAUUAUUUUCCAUUACAUCUGUCUUACUGGGGUUGCAUACAACCCCAUUAUACCACAUGUUAUCAAGAACGCACAUAUCCUUCAGGCCCUCCUUGAGUAACUGUAAUUCCAUCAUCACCUACAUUAUCUUUACCUCAAUUUAAGCACUUUGGUCCACCUGCAUUUAUUUGGGUGGUUUUUAUUAUCUUCUUCAUAGGUCUCAUAUUAAAACUGUGCGCAAAUUGUAAGUAAAUAUGAUAACUGGUCUUGUUUCAGGUCCUAAGCCUUCAC